rnacentral:rRNA from 1 species
AAAGGAAUUGACGGGGGCCCGCACAAGCGGAGGAACAUGUGGUUUAAUUCGAUGAUACGCGAGGAACCUUACCCGGGCUUGAAAUGCAGAUGAAUAAUGAGGAAACUUGUUAGCCGGCAACGGCAUCUGUGUAGGUGCUGCAUGGUUGUCGUCAGCUCGUGCCGUGAGGUGUCGGCUUAAGUGCCAUAACGAGCGCAACCCUUGUCGUUAGUUACUAACAGGUCAUGCUGAGGACUCUAGCGAGACUGCCACCGUAAGGUGCGAGGAAGGUGGGGAUGACGUCAAAUCAGCACGGCCCUUACGUCCGGGGCGACACACGUGUUACAAUGGGGGGUACAGAGGGUUGCUACUUGGUGACAAGAUGCUAAUCUCAAAAACCUCUCUCAGUUCGGAUCGAAGUCUGCAACUCGACUUCGUGAAGCUGGAUUCGCUAGUAAUCGCGCAUCAGCCAUGGCGCGGUGAAUACGUUCCCGGGCCUUGUACACACCGCCCGU